GACAGAGGGUGCGAACGUUGUUCGGAAUUACUGGGCGUAAAGCGCAUGUAGGCGGCAGCGCAAGUCGGGCGUGAAAUCCCACGGCUCAACCGUGGAAGUGCACUCGAAACUGCGCAGCUAGAGUCCUGGAGAGGAAGGUGGAAUGCUUGGUGUAGAGGUGAAAUUCGUAGAGAUGUGGAGGAACACCAGUGGCGAAGGCGACUCUUUGGCCUGUAACUGACGCUGAGGCGCGAAAGCGUGGGGAGCAAACAGG
rnacentral:rRNA from 1 species